UACGAAGGGGGCUAGCGUUGUUCGGAAUUACUGGGCGUAAAGCGCGCGCAGGUGGUCUUUCAAGUCAGUGGUGAAAGCCCGGAGCUCAACUCCGGAAAUGCCAUUGAAACUGUAAGACUUGAGGAUGAGAGAGGUGAGUGGAAUUCCCAGUGUAGAGGUGAGAUUCGUAGAUAUUGGGAAGAACACCGGUGGCGAAGGCGGCUCACUGGCUCAUAUCUGACGCUCAGGCGCGACAGCGUGGGGAUCAAACAGG
rnacentral:rRNA from 1 species